AUGGGUUUUGUUUCACAAUCCUCUCCAGGGUGCGGUUAUAUCUAUUGCUUGUACACUUUUUUUCUACCACAUCUUUUCCUUCCCCUCGCCUCUCUAUUAAUGUGCUUGGACACAGAGCUCUGUGAACAGCCAACCAAGAUGGCGGCGCGUCCACACGCAGCGGCUUCUCUCUGUCCCGACAGAACGGUGUUUUCGUGUUUUUUGUCUUGUGAGUCGCAGUGUUUUUGUACGUCGUCAUCGCGUCUAUCUGUCUUUAAGCGCGCAUACAGUCGUGAGUUUCUGCUGGAUGUCGGCAGAGCCGCAUUUUUAGAGUUAAACUCCGCGCACGCGGAACUGCUGCGAGAUCUCGGACUUCUCCGGAGGCCUACAUCAUCACCGACCCCCACUACUGCAUCUCGCCCACAGCGGAGGCGCCACAAGCGGCGUGAGAGGAAGCAGAAGAGGGGUAAGCGCGGAGGUAUCCGAGCUAGGCUAACGGCUAACCCACACAAGCCAUCUAUCCCCACCAUCGUACUGGCUAACGUACGCUCUUUGGACAAUAAACUGGACUACAUCCGAUUACUACGUUCAACUCAGAGGACUGUAAGAGACUGUUGUGUGUUUGUAUUCACGGAAACAUGGCUCAGCGACAGCGUUCCAGACUGCGCCAUUCAGCUCGACCAGCUGACAUGCUAUCGAGCAGACAGAGCUCGCGUCGCGGGAGGAAAAACCCGCGGCGGCGGCCUUUGUGUUUACAUCAAUGACGCGUGGUGCCGCGAUGCUGUUGUGAUCUGCAAACACUGCUCACCCCUGGUGGAGUUUAUGAUUAUUAAGUGCCGGCUGUUCUAUCUGCCGAGGGAAUAUACUGCCAUACUGCUCGUUUCAGUUUACAUUCCCCGGAACAACAACAUCAGCAACAAGAACGAUGCACUAAAUGAACUGCACCAGCACAUCAGUGAGCAGCACACAGCACACCCCGAUGCUUUUCUCAUCAUAGCUGGGGAUUUCAACCAUGCUGACUUAAAGAGUGUGUUUCCAAAAAUACACCAACACAUUAACUUCCCAACACGAGGUAAUAAGAUUUUAGACUUGGUUUACACCACUCAAAGAGGAGCUUACAAAGCCCUCCCCCUCCCCCACCUCGGUGCCNCCAUGCUGACUUAA
ensembl:lncRNA